CCUACGGGUGGCAGCAGUAGGGAAUAUUGCUCAAUGGGGGCAACCCUGAAGCAGCAACGCCGCGUGGAGGAUGAAGGUUUUCGGAUUGUAAACUCCUUUUGUUAGAGAAAAUAAUUACGGUAUCUAACCAAUCAUCACCGGCUAACUCCGUUCCAGCAGCCGCGGUAAUACGGAGGGUGCAAGCGUUACUCGGAAUCACUGGGCGUAAAGAGCGCGUAGGCGGGUUAGCAAGUCAGAUGUGAAAUCCUAUGGCUUAACCAUAGAACUGCAUUUGAAACUGUUAUUCUAGAGUAUGGGAGAGGUAGGUGGAAUUCUUGGUGUAGGGGUAAAAUGCGUAGAGAUCAAGAGGAAUACUCAUUGCGAAGGCGACCUGCUAGAACAUAACUGACGCUGAUGCGCGAAAGCGUGGGGAGCAAACAGGAUUAGAUACCCUAGUAGUC
rnacentral:rRNA from 1 species